AUUGAACGCUGGCGGCAGGCCUAACACAUGCAAGUCGAGCGGAUGAAGGGAGCUUUCUCCUGGAUUCAGCGGCGGACGGGUGAGUAAUUCCUAGGAAUCUGCCUGGUAUUUGGGGAUAACGUCCGUAAACGGGCGCUAAUACCGCAUACGUCCUGAGGGUGAAAGUGGGGGAUCUUCGGACCUCACGCUAUUAGAUGAGCCUAGUUCGGAUUAGCUAGUUGGUGGGGUAAAGGCCUACCAAGGCGACGAUCCGUAACUGGUCUGAGAGGAUGAUCAGUCACACUGGAACUGAGACACGGUCCAGACUCCUACGGGAGGCAGCAGUGGGGAAUAUUGGACAAUGGGCGAAAGCCUGAUGGAGCAAUGCCGCGUGUGUGAAGAAGGUCUUCGGAUUGUAAAGCACUUUAAGUUGGGAGGAAGGGAAGUAAGUUAAUACCUUGAUGUUUUGACGUUACCAAAAGAAUAAGCACCGGCUAACUUCGUG
rnacentral:rRNA from 1 species